rnacentral:rRNA from 1 species
AUUGAACGCUGGCGGCAGGCCUAACACAUGCAAGUCGAGCGGAUGAAGAGAGCUUGCUCUCUGAUUUAGCGGCGGACGGGUGAGUAAUGCCUAGGAAUCUGCCUGGUAGUGGGGGAUAACGUUCCGAAAGGAACGCUAAUACCGCGUACGUCCUACGGGAGAAAGCAGGGGACCUUCGGGCCUUGCGCUAUCAGAUGAGCCUAGGUCGGGUUAGCUAGUUGGUGAGGUAAUGGCUCACCAAGGCGACGAUCCGUAACUGGUCUGAGAGGAUGAUCAGUCACACUGGAACUGAGACACGGUCCAGACUCCUACGGGAGGCAGCAGUGGGGAAUAUUGGACAAUGGGCGAAAGCCUGAUCCAGCCAUGCCGCGUGUGUGAAGAAGGUCUUCGGAUUGUAAAGCACUUUAAGUUGGGAGGAAGGGCAGUAAGUUAAUACCUUGCUGUUUUGACGUUACCGACAGAAUAAGCACCGGCUAACUUCGUGCCAGCAGCCGCCGCAGUAA